UUAACACAUGCAAGUCGAGCGGAAAGGCCACUUCGGUGGUACUCGAGCGGCGAACGGGUGAGUAACACGUGAGUAAUCUGCCCUUCACUUGGGGAUAACCUCCGGAAACGGUGGCUAAUACCCGAUACGACCAUUCCAGGCAUCUGGUGGUGGUGGAAAGUUUUUUCGGUGGGGGAUGUGCUCGCGGCCUAUCAGCUUGUUGGUGGGGUAAUGGCCUACCAAGGCUUCGACGGGUAGCCGGCCUGAGAGGGUGACCGGCCACACUGGGACUGAGACACGGCCCAGACUCCUACGGGAGGCAGCAGUGGGGAAUAUUGGACAAUGGGCGGAAGCCUGAUCCAGCAACGCCGCGUGAGGGAUGACGGCCUUCGGGUUGUAAACCUCUUUCACCGAUGACGAAGCGCAAGUGACGGUAGUCGGAGAAGAAGCACCGGCCAACUACGUGCCAGCAGCCGCGGUAAUACGUAGGGUGCGAGCGUUGUCCGGAAUUAUUGGGCGUAAAGGGCUCGUAGGCGGUUUGUCGCGUCGGGAGUGAAAACACGGGGCUUAACUCCGUGCUUGCUUUCGAUACGGGCAGACUAGAGGUAUGCAGGGGAGAACGGAAUUCCUGGUGUAGCGGUGAAAUGCGCAGAUAUC
rnacentral:rRNA from 1 species